rnacentral:lncRNA from 1 species
ACCGGAGAGGCCCGCACAUCUGCUUUGACUACAACGCGACGGAAGAUACCUCAGACUGUGGCCGCGGAGCGUCCUUCCCGCCGUCGCUGGGCGUCCUGGUCUCCCUGCAGCUGCUGCUCCUCCUGGGCUUGCCUCCCCGGCCGCAGCCCCAAGUCCACGCCCACGCCUCGCGCCGCGUCUGAGCGCCCCCCCAUCCCUNNNNNNNNNNNNNNNNNNNNNNCCCUCCCCGGGCCUCCCCGCCUCUCCCCUGCUCCCCCGCCCCACACACCCCGCCUUAGAGCCUGGCCUCCUCCCUCACUGAAGGACCUGAGCGGCCAGGCGCAAAAGUCUGAGCCUUGGGGGGGUCCCAGAGGAGGGUGCCGCAGGUCUUUGGCCCCCAGGUCACAUCUCGCCGCUAAACUGUCAAAGUGACCCCAGACCCCUUAUUCCCACUGGACUCCCCCACCCCUGAGGGCUGGGACAGGGAAGCCACAGUACUGGUGCCAAACCAGGCCUCCACUGCCCACCCUGCCCCAAGGCUCCCUUUGUGCGGGAGACCUAGGCCCUGGACUCCUCUAACCUGGCCCUUAUGUCCCACCCAGGACCAAAUCUGGAUUCCCUGGGAAUAAUGAAGUUGAGAUGGGCAGUUUGAGGCCUGUGCAUCCCAGCUUAAGUUCUAGCAGGAGAGAAGUCCUGAGGCAGCCCCACAAUGGGCUCCUGCCCCUUUCAGGCCUACAGCCACCUCCCACCUUCCAGCCCUGCAGGUGACAGGCCAGUGACAGUGACACUGGCUCAGACACAACCCCAUUCACACCUGGAGCCCUGAGGGCAGAAACUGGACUCACAUUAGACACACCAAGGAGGACACACACACAGACACACACACACACACACACACCCCGUGGGGUAGGGGUGGGGGUGGGGGCUCACAAAGCCUUAUACAGGGCAAGGGGUUGGUGGGAGGGCUGGCACAUGCACACUUCAUCUCCUGCUCACCGCCCGCCUCUAAUCUGACCUGCAGCCCAGCUGGUCCUCUGUUUCUAAAGCUGAAUGUCAAACAGUGCCAAAUGCUGGGGCAGGGGGUGACAACCCCUCUGUCCCACCCUAGCCGCCAGUAUCCCGGAAAUGUCCCUCACCCCGCCAGGUGCUCAUUGUAACCAUUUCGCACUAUUGUCAGGCCCUCAGCGGGACCACGUGCCACUGCCUGCACCUCUCGGCAGAGGAAUCUUCACCAGACAUUGCCCUUUGCCUUAGCCAGAGUGACAUGAUCACUCCUGGCUGGGCCAUC